UAAUGCGAUGGCCAAAAGCCGAAACACUGGUUUUACUUGUAAUGUUUUGACUUCCAUUGUCCUCCAAUAGUUGCUGAAUCUCCCCUUUUAGUUUGCUCUUCAGUUCAUGCACCUUGGUUGGAGAGCGAGGUUGUGGCAGUGCUCCCUUUCCUUUGGUGAAUGAGUCCAGCCAUAUUCUUCAUAACGCAUCACACUACUCAGUGUGGCAGAGAAAUGUGGAAAGAUUACAGAUUAGGUCCUCAGCCAGCAGUACAUCUCCAGGGAACUCUGUUCUGGGUGGUUUUCUUGACCUUAUUCCAUGUGGUUCCUGCCUUCUUAAUUUCCUCCUCACUUCCAUGGUAUAUUCUCUCUCACGGAGGACCUGAGCACUAGGACUACCUGGCCUGAUGACUCCUUGCUGUCCCCAGUCCAUCUGGUCGUGCUGCUGCUCCAGUUUCAACUGUUCUGCCUGCGGGUGUGGAACCCUGACCUGUUCACCGGACGGGCUCCCUCUCCCAGACCUGCUGUUUUCAACUCUGGAGACAGCAAGCGCGGUAGAGAUGCUAUGAAAAGCCAACUGACAUUUACUCCUGAGGUGCUGACCUGUUGUACCCUCUACAACCACUGUGAUUAUUAUUCGACCCUGCUGGUCAUCUGAACGUUUGACAGCCAGAAGAGGACUGGCCACCCCUCGUAGCCUGGUUCCUCUCUAGGGUUCUUCCUAGGUUCUGGCCUUUCUAUUGAGGUUUUCCUAGCCCCUGUGCUUCUACACCUGCAUUGCUUGCUGUUUGGGGUUUUAGGCUGGGUUUCUGUACAGCACUUUGACAUCAGCUGAUGUAAGAAGGGCUUCAUAAAUAAAUGUGAUUGUACAACCUUUCAUACCAAAGUUAAGAAUUCCCCACGUGUCUCGUGGGGAAACAAAAACGAUUAACUGGCUGAAUGCAACCUAUGUUUGUUCAAUCAUGUUGC
ensembl:lncRNA